rnacentral:rRNA from 1 species
GGUUAAGCGACUAAGCGUACACGGUGGAUGCCCUGGCAGUCAGAGGCGAUGAAGGACGUGCUAAUCUGCGAUAAGCGUCGGUAAGGUGAUAUGAACCGUUAUAACCGGCGAUUUCCGAAUGGGGAAACCCAGUGUGUUUCGACACACUAUCAUUAACUGAAUCCAUAGGUUAAUGAGGCGAACCGGGGGAACUGAAACAUCUAAGUACCCCGAGGAAAAGAAAUCAACCGAGAUUCCCCCAGUAGCGGCGAGCGAACGGGGAGCAGCCCAGAGCCUGAAUCAGUGUGUGUGUUAGUGGAAGCGUCUGGAAAGGCGCGCGAUACAGGGUGACAGCCCCGUACACAAAAAUACACAU